UACGUAGGGUGCGAGCGUUGUCCGGAAUUACUGGGCGUAAAGAGCUCGUAGGCGGUUUGUCGCGUUGUUCGUGAAAACCUGAGGCUUAACCUUGGGCGUGCGGGCGAUACGGGCAGACUGGAGUACUGCAGGGGAGACUGGAAUUCCUGGUGUAGCGGUGGAAUGCGCAGAUAUCAGGAGGAACACCGGUGGCGAAGGCGGGUCUCUGGGCAGUAACUGACGCUGAGGAGCGAAAGCGUGGGGAGCGAACAGG
rnacentral:rRNA from 1 species